AAGUCCUGCCCAAUGAAAUUUCAAUGGCCGCGGUAUCCUAACCGUGCAAAGGUAGCAUAAUCAUUUGCCUAUUAAUUGUAGGCURGAAUGAAUGGAUAAACGAAGUAAUAACUGUCUCUAAUAAYCYUAUAAAAAUUAAUCUUCUAGUGAAGAAGCUAGAAUCAACUUACAGGACAAGAAGACCCUAUAGAGCUUUAUUUAGAUAUAUARUCUUAUUAUAURCACAAUUCAGUUGGGGCGACUAAGGAACUAAUCAUCCUUUAUACCAAAGAAUAACAAUUCAAUAAARGAUCCUUAAACAAGAUCAYAGAAACCAGCUACCUUAGGGAUAACAGGCUAAUUUUUCUGAAGAGUUCAAAUCGAUAGAAAAGAUUGGCACCUCGAUGUUGGCUUAGGAAACCUAUAAGAUGCAGCAAUCUUAACAGGGGGUUUGUUCAACCCAUAAAUUCCU
rnacentral:rRNA from 1 species